CCCAACAAUAUUAAAUGUUGUUAAACAUGGCAAGAGAGUGAAGCAAAGCAAAACUACCUAUCUAGUCAAGUUUAAAUGAGGCCGGGAACAACAAACAACAAAUUCCGGUAAAUCCCCAUAUGCAUAUUUUAGAUUAGGACCUGUUCUGCCCUAAACACAAUUUUAGGGUUGUUUAACAUGCAAAUAAAGGUCACCAUGUUAAACUAGGCAUUUUUCUACCCCAUUUACAUAUAAAGUUUAUUAAAAUCGGAGUUACGGUUAUUUAGUUAUGAAUUAAAUCAUUUUAACAUGGCAUAGGAGCAAAUUUAACCAAACAACAUUUUAAGCAUUUUAAACAUGGGUGAAAGUGACAUAUUAUUAAACUAGACAAAAUUCUGAGCAAGUUUCAUAUAUAAAUCAUUUUAAUCCGAUGCACGAAUUGUGAGUUAUUAUAUGCAUGACAACUAGGGGGGUUUUCUGUAAAACUGCAAUGCUCUGGAUAAUGGACAAAUUCGUAGACGCUGGAAAAAAACAUGAUAUGGGCCGAAUCUGGCUGGCCCGACAGGAGCAGUGGGUGCGGCUUGGGGUUCUCUCACCAUGGGACAAGCCCAGAACCGUGGAGAGGGCGCUGGGGCAGGCCGGCUGGGCCUUGCGGGCUGCGGCGAGACUUGGCGCUCCCGAGGCCACACGGAAGCGACGCGCUGCGGGCACGGUCAACGCGCCUGACUGGAUCGAGCCAUGCUCGAUGCAGGGGAAGCAGAGGGCGACGGCAGCGGGUCUCGGCGCGGGGAAGGAGGCAGACGGCGGACGCGGCAGGAGGUGGGGCCCACGGGCUGACGACGUCACGGACGCGAGCGAAGGAGCUCGUUGCCCACGGCCAUGGCUGCUCUCCUGUGCAACAAAACGACGACAAGACGGGGGAAAUCAAUAGCGAUGCGAGGGAAAAAGGCAGGGGGAAAUGGUGGAGGAGCUCGCCCACGGCUCCGGUUAGCUCGAGGAUCUCCGGCGACGAAGAGGGCGUUCCACGAGGAGCUUCGUUCGGUUCCCUGGGAGCAAAAGAGAGAGAGAUUAGAGAGGGAGAGAAGCAGGGGGAUAAAGAAGAGAAGGCAGGGCGUGAAGGGGCCGGCCUGGAGGAGCUUGGAGCUGCUGACGGCGAGCUGGCGGCACGGUGGUCGGGGCCGGGCGGCGCUGCUCUCGAUCCACCCUGGAUCGAGGCACAGGAGGAGGAGAGGAGACGCGGAUGGAUCGAUCUGGCUGGAUUUUUGGAUCGGGCAUCUGGCUGUGGUAGGUGGGGAACGAGGGGAUUGGGCAGGGGAGAAUGAGAGGAUCCCGAGGUAGCUUGUGAGUUGGUGGCACAGAAAUAGAUGAGAUACAGUGGGGCGACG
rnacentral:rRNA from 1 species